UUUGGUUGUGGAAAGUUUUUUCGGUUGGGGAUGGGCUCGCGGCCUAUCAGUUUGUUGGUGAGGUAAUGGCUCACCAAGACGACGACGGGUAGCCGGCCUGAGAGGGCGACCGGCCACACUGGGACUGAGACACGGCCCAGACUCCUACGGGAGGCAGCAGUGGGGAAUAUUGCACAAUGGGGGAAACCCUGAUGCAGCGACGCAGCGUGCGGGAUGACUGCCUUCGGGUUGUAAACCGCUUUCAGCAGGGAAGAAGCCCUUCGGGGUGACGGUACCUGCAGAAGAAGUACCGGCUAACUACGUGCCAGCAGCCGCGGUAAUACGUAGGGUACAAGCGUUGUCCGGAAUUAUUGGGCGUAAAGAGCUCGUAGGUGGUUGGUCACGUCUGCUGUGGAAACGCAACGCUUAACGUUGCGCGUGCAGUGGGUACGGGCUGACUAGAGUGCAGUAGGGGAGUCUGGAAUUCCUGGUGUAGCGGUGAAAUGCGCAGAUAUCAGGAGGAACACCGGUGGCGAAGGCGGGACUCUGGGCUGUAACUGACACUGAGGAGCGAAAGCAUGGGGAGCGAACAGGAUUAGAUACCCUGGUAGUCCAUGCCGUAAACGUUGGGCACUAGGUGUGGGGGACAUUCCACGUUCUCCGCGCCGUAGCUAACGCAUUAAGUGCCCCGCCUGGGGAGUACGGUCGCAAGGCUAAAACUCAAAGGAAUUGACGGGGGCCCGCACAAGCGGCGGAGCAUGCGGAUUAAUUCGAUGCAACGCGAAGAACCUUACCAAGGCUUGACAUACACCAGACCGUUCUGGAAACAGUUCCUCCCCUUUGGGGUUGGUGUACAGGUGGUGCAUGGUUGUCGUCAGCUCGUGUCGUGAGAUGUUGGGUUAAGUCCCGCAACGAGCGCAACCCUCGUUCUAUGUUGCCAGCACGUGAUGGUGGGAACUCAUAGGAGACUGCCGGGGUCAACUCGGAGGAAGGUGGGGAUGACGUCAAAUCAUCAUGCCCUUUAUGUCUUGGGCUUCACGCAUGCUACAAUGGCUGGUACAGAGAGAUGCGAGACCGCGAGGUUUUAGCGAAUCCCUUAAAGCCAGUCUCAGUUCGGAUCGUAGUCUGCAAUUCGACUACGUGAAGUCGGAGUCGCUAGUAAUCGCAGAUCAGCAACGCGCG
rnacentral:rRNA from 1 species